rnacentral:rRNA from 1 species
UACGUAGGGUGCGAGCGUUGUCCGGAAUUACUGGGCGUAAAGCGCUCGUAGGCGGUUUGUCGCGUUGCUCGUGAAAACUCACAGCUUAACUGUGGGCGUGCGGGCGAUACGGGCAGACUGGAGUACUGCAGGGGAGACUGGAAUUCCUGGUGUAGCGGUGGAAUGCGCAGAUAUCAGGAGGAACGCCGGUGGCGAAGGCGACUCCCUGGGCUGUUCUUGACGCUGAGGCGCGAAAGCAUGGGGAGCGAACAGG